rnacentral:rRNA from 1 species
UAGGGAAUCUUCCGCAAUGGGCGAAAGCCUGACGGAGCAACGCCGCGUGAGUGAUGAAGGUCUUCGGAUCGUAAAACUCUGUUAUUAGGGAAGAACAAAUGUGUAAGUAACUAUGCACGUCUUGACGGUACCUAAUCAGAAAGCCACGGCUAACUACGUGCUAGCAGCCGCGGUAAUAAGUAGGUGGCAAGCGUUAUCCGGAAUUAUUGGGCGUAAAGCGCGCGUAGGCGGUUUUUUAAGUCUGGUGUGAAAGCCCACGGCUCAACCGUGGAGGGUCAUUGGAAACUGGAAAACUUGAGUGCAGAGGAGGAAAGUGGAAUUCCAUGUGUGGCGGUGAAAUGCGCAGAGAUAUGGAGGAACACCAGUGGCGAAAGCGACUUUCUGGUCUGUAACUGACGCUGAUGUGCGAAAGCGUGGGGAUCAAACAGG